rnacentral:lncRNA from 1 species
GCGGCUCGGCGAUUGGUGUGAAACCAAAGUUCAUACUCAAAAUGAUUCAGAACAAUUCAACUGUAACCGAAUGCUGGGAGUCACGACGGAUCCGCGCCAUUGCUUUGCACAUGAGCCUUCACACGAACAGCUGUCAGGUAUUAAGUGUAUCCAACGAAUGAAGCUCGCUCAAACGACCCUAAAACUCCAGCUGAGGUCCAUGAACGGACUCAUCAUUUUCGUAGCAAUGAUAGGCAAUUCAUGUUGAGCAGUUUGUUCUAGCACGUGUGUUUCUCAACAAAGCAGAGGUCUCUCUUCGAACCCGCAGGCACGUGACAGAAAAGCCUUUAAGCAAGUCUUUAACUCCCAUAAAUUCACAAAAACAGGCAGUGGACAUCAAAGAGUUUCCUCCACACCAACCAUAACCUGCACUUCCACAAGUCAACGCAGAAAAAUCAAUAGCAGGGUUGCAAUUUAAAACAACAGAAGUAGUAAAACCAGCAUGAUCAUGAAGAUAUUGAACCUCAAUCUUUCCGGAUUUGUAAUCAGGUAAUCGAAUAGAAGCAACGGCUUUUGCAGAAGACACAAAAUCUGUGAGAGUAAAUGUUGUCAACACACUUGAUUCGGUAUCAACUUUGAAAAGAAGAGUAUUCUUUUUGUGGUUAAUUUGAGCAGCAACAUCACCGGAGGAAAGUCCUCUACUCNCGUUCCCAAAUCCAUAUUUUGUGAUAAACAUUGGUUAUUAUUUAGCUUUUUGAUCAUGGUGCUUUGUGAUUACAAAAUGGAUUUUAGUUAUUUGAUUUUAAUUUUCAAUUUUAAUUUAAUUUCAAAGUAAAUCUAAUUCCAAAUUUCAAGUUAAUCUUAAUUGUGUUUUACUAAUGAUUCAAACUCUAAUUGAUUUUAAUUUCCAAAUAAAUGUUAGAGUUGAUAUCAAAGUAAUUUUAACAAAUUAUAGAUUAAUUUGAUUUUAAUUGGUUUUAUUUGUUUUUAUUUUAUUUUUAAUUGACAUUGUGAUUAGUCUCAGGUUAUUUCUAAAAUCCAUAUCCAUUUUUAUAACCAAACAUGAUCCAUCUUCCAUCCAUAGUUCAUCUCAAAUCAAAAUAGCACAUACACACAUUUCAUAACAUUCAAUAAUAUUUAGCUUUCAAGCAUUUCCAAAACCAUAUUCAUACAUACAUGUUCCUCCCAAAUGCACGUCCAUUUUUACAACAGUAAACCAUAUUUCACCAAGUAAAAGCAUCCUAAUUACAAACCAUGACUCAUUCAAACCAAAGCCAUUGCGUCAUUCCACGGACCUCUGAUUACAAUGUUUGAAACGAAAUGCAAAAUUCAAACCAACACAUUCACAUUUCAAAGCUGCUACAACCUUGGGCAAUCCCUGAAAUUACAGCGGAUUAUCAUUUGUUACAUCCAAUUUUCAAAUUCACAAAAUAGAACCUUCAUGACAAUACAACACACAAAAAGCUAACACAAAUAAUCCUAAAUCUAGCAACUUUGCCGCCUACCAAAUUCAGAGUUACUAAUCUCAUUGGCAGCACAAUCCUCAAUCCUCGUUUCUACACUUGGAAUCACUCAUUAACACUCGAUUUUGAUUGAUGUGAUUAAAUUAUGGAGAAUUCCCAAGAUCAACAAGGAACCCUCUCUUCUCAAACCCUUGUUAAUGCUACUUAAUGCUCUCAGUCUCUGCUACCAUUUAACAUUGAUGCUGCCGCUCAGGAUGCCGUUUUGCGCGAACAAGAACUUGCAACUCAAAAUAUCAUAAGGACCCAGAGAGAGGUGACAACUACCACAUCACCUUCCAAGGAUAAUUUUGACAUAUUCUCUGCCCGUCAUCACCCCAAUGCUUUGAAGGAACAUCUCUUGAAUAUGGCCACUGAGCAUAGGUCUGAAAUCGCUCUUAAGCGUGGAAAACCUGCACUUCCACAAGUCAACACAGAAAUAGGCAAUGGAUAUUGUGUACCUGGUGGAGGUGCCUAUAAUGAUAUUCUCAAGCUUAACACUGAUCCUGACAACAGUGCAUUCAGUCUGCCCGAAUCUAAAUUUGAUAGAUAUUCAGAGCAGACAUCUGCAGGUAAAGAAUUGCCCGAGUUCCUCAAAGCAGAAGUUAAGAGCUCGGGGUGUUCUUAAAGAUGAUAUACAUACCAAAGAUAUUAAAGGUACUUCAGCUGAACUUAGGGGAAAUGAAAACUUACCUCCAGGAUGGUUUGUCAUGAAGGUGGAAGCAAAAGAUCCGGGGAGUGGUGCAUUUUACUAUUAUAAUGAAAGUACCGGGAAGAGUCAAUGGGCAAAACCUUGCGAAGCAUCCUUAACUGAGCAAUCAACACCGUCUUUGAAUCUUCCGGAAAAUUGGGUGGAAGCAUGCGAACUCGGCAUCUUCAAACACAAUCCAGCAUUAUACUUUGUAAGCUUCCCAACACUUGUGGAGUGGCUAGUUUCCGCGCCAAAUGCAAUCCCAGGAGUACCAAUUGUCGCAGAAAAAUCAAUAGCAGGGUUGCAAUUUAAAACAACAGAAGUAGUAAAACCAGCAUGAUCAUGAAGAUAUUGAACCUCAAUCUUUCCGGAUUUGUAAUCAGGUAAUCGAAUAGAAGCAACGGCUUUCGCAGAAGACACAAAAUCUGUGAGAGUAAAUGUUGUCAACACACUUGAUUCGGUAUCAACUUUGAAAAGAAG